CGUAUCGUGAAGAGGAGAGUAGAGAAAAUAAGGGCAAAAGCACCAUCCCCCUCUGUCAAUGUGAUACCCCCUUUUUAUUUUAUUCUUCUUUUUUAUGUGAAACAAAUUGUAGUGGUUCCGGGUUUUGAGCAUUGAAUUAGGGGGAGUAGUACUUUUGUCGUGUGUAGGUAGUGAUGGUGGGGGUUCUCUCUCUGACAAUCAGCUUUCUCUCUCUCGUCCGAAAGCACGAAACCAAGAGCAAAAGCUCUCCGAUCUUUUCCUUCCUCCAACGGUCAUCAAUCGACGCCAAACAACCUUCUGUGGCUUCGUCUCAGCCUUGCGAAGCUACCUGCGGCGGUCUUGGGUCACGGCACAGCCGGAAGCGGCGGCGAAGAGGCCGGGUUCGUCCAGCCCCGAUUUGGAUUCCAAACAUGGUAGCUCGAGCUACCGAUCACGAGACCUUCUCAAACUCCAUCCACAGGUUCGUAUCAACCAUCUGAAACUCCCAGAAGCACCAUUGAAUGGCGGCGCUGUCGCUGGAGGCGGCUGGGGCUCACAACCCCGAUCGGAGCGAACAACGGAGCAAAGAGUCCUGAUAUCUCGAGCUACAGGACGUCGUUUUGAGUGUUUCUUGGACUGGUGAACUCAUAAUGAGGAUCUGAACAAGUUUAUAGAAGGGAUCGAGGCCUAAAAUUGAAGUUUUUACGUCGGAAUUCAAGCUCGCCGGAUUCUGGAAAUUUUCCGGCUACCGAAGCUUUCGAUCAAGAUAUCUCGAGCUGUAGAGCUUCGUUUUGAGUGAUUCUUGAACCAGUGAGUUGGCCUUGAUGUUCUUAAAAACUCUCCAGAAGGAAUCGAGGCCAAAAGAUGAAGUUUUUACGUGGAAAAAUCGGUUGGACGGUUUCUGCAAAUUUCGCCGGUUUCUGAAAAUUUUUCCGGCCAUCACGACUGUUUUAGGUGAUUGACGGUCUUCCUUGGUGGGCGGUUUGGUGUGUAUUGUGAAAUUGAAGACGCAGCGGGAUUAGAGCGGGUAAUCCUACAGGACUGAAGAAACAGGAAGGCGAUCGAGCUGUGUAGAGUAGCUGCAUGUGAUACUCUGAAUUUCUAUUGAGAGGUUUGUUAUGCUCAUUUAGAGCUUUACAAUCUUACUUGUAUGAGUGAGUUGUAAUAAUUAACUCGAGGUUUUCGAGAUUUGAAUUUUGAGUGGCUUGUGGUGUGAUUACUCAGAGAAAAAAAGUCAGAAAGUUUAUUUGUAAUAGCUAUUAUUCACGUUUCGGAUUUGAAUUGGUUAUUCAAAAUUCGGGGCGUGACAGUCAACCAACAGUCACCGUCUGCUGUGAAGCCGUGAAUGAUGCUCCAUAACAAGGAGUCGAGAAGUCUCAUGUGCAGAGUUAUGAUUAGUUAGCAUGAGUGUUGGGUGUGUGUGUCGUGGAUGUCUUUUGGUUCUCGAAACUCAAAACAAUGUUUUUAUUUAUUAUUAUUGUAUAAACUCAAAAAUAUGAGGCUUGAUUCUCUUUUCCUGACAUUGUUAUAUUAAUGAUAAUUAGUGAUUA